rnacentral:rRNA from 1 species
UACGUAGGGGGCAAGCGUUGUCCGGAAUCAUUGGGCGUAAAGAGCGCGUAGGCGGCCCAGUAAGUCCGCUCUGAAAGUCAGGGGCUCAACCCCUGGAUGCGGGUGGAUACUGCUGGGCUAGAGUCCGGAAGAGGUGAGUGGAAUUCCUGGUGUAGCGGUGAAAUGCGCAGAUAUCAGGAGGAACACCGAUGGCGAAGGCAGCUCUCUGGGACGGUACUGACGCUGAGACGCGAAAGCGUGGGGAGCGAACAGG